rnacentral:lncRNA from 1 species
CUAAGACAAACAGGUGCCAGGCGGCGAUGACGUCAGUGGCCCCUGAGUCCUGGCAGGUGAGGCUCUGCUGCACUGUGGUUGGAGUGGUGCGAGAGCAUCCUGGGCCCCUGGAUGCCGAUGAGCAGUGCCCUGUUUGGGAUUGUGACCGGGAUGGCUAAAAAGGCCACUAUUAUCACGUCCUUCGAGUACGACUCCAAGUGGGGUUCUGUGAACGGCGCUGUCUCCAGAGCCAGGGGACCCAGGGUAGCUUUGGGCAUCCGUGGCCCUGAAGUUCUCCCUGGUGGAAAUUUAUUUGGACUAGUAAUUAUUUUUUGUUGUACCCGUCUUGGAGGGACACUUCUGCAACUCAUUAGAACACCUACAGUGCCCCCACCUCCACCUCAUCUUGGGAUAUAACUGGCUGGUUUUAUCAUCAGGAAUAUUCCACCCAUCAGAAAACAGAUCAGAGUCCCUAGCUAGUGGUCUUCAACUCUAAGAACCACUGUCCUUACCAUCAUCCUAAUACAAGCAAAACAUGGACUUGAUCCCGAGGCUCUGCGGCCAAUGAAGACCAUCUGCUUCCUGCUGUCCUUUGGUCGGUGCAUCAGAGAGAUGUGCACUACUGCUGUUGUUUCCCACUUCAUUAUGGAUUUCCCUUGACAGUGGGGAUUUCUAUUAGAUUUUGUGUUAGGUGCCAUCUCUCCUGCGGUCCUGGUCCUGUCCAUGCUGCACUUGCAGGAGGCAGGGCAUGGCAUAGAGAAGGG